rnacentral:rRNA from 1 species
AUUGAACGCUGGCGGCAGGCCUAACACAUGCAAGUAGAACGAGUGGCGGACGGGUGAGUAACGUCUGGGAAACUGCCCGAUGGAGGGGGAUAACUACUGGAAACGGUAGCUAAUACCGCAUACCAUCGGAUGUGCCCAGAUGGGAUUAGCUUGUAAGUGUGGUAACGGCUCACCUAGGCGACGAUCCCUAGCUGGUCUGAGAGGAUGACCAGCCACACUGGAACUGAGACACGGUCCAGACACCUACGGGAGGCAGCAGUGGUGAAUAUUUCACAAUGGGCGCAAGCCUGAUGCAGCCAUGCCGCGUGUAUGAAGAAGGCCUUCGGGUUGUAAAGUACUUUCAGCGGGGAGGCGUUACCCGCAGAAGAAGCACCGGCUAACUCCGUGCCAGCAGCCGCGGUAAUAC